UCAAUAUUGAAACCCCGUGACAGUCUUCUUGAUUCAGGGUAGAGUGAUCGUCUGUCUGACGUCAUUGGCCUGCGUUACUCACACGGGGCGGAGCUCAAGUAUUAAAAGAGGGGGCAGCUGUACAAUCUGUGUGGUUGGUUGUUUUGGGGUUGGAGUUUGAAGGGCGGCGGAAACAGGUCCACCGUGAGUACUGUGCAUAGAACACUUACCUCCUCUUCAGCAAGAAACAUCUUAACCUCAACCAUGUCUGACCAGGUUGAGAGUUCAGCAGCAGACAAUAUGAUUUAAAAUACACAGGUCAAUGCAGUGGAGUUCAGCUGCAAGACCACUCCUGUCGCAACAGCCUCUGUAUAGUUGGAGGGAACCUCCCACUCACAAGGAUUCCGACUGGCUCACUCAUGCUGAAACUGUUGGAACUGGAGGCUGGGCAGAACUUGCCUAUUUCAUGGCCUUCUCUCCUGAUGGCAAUCUGUGGUGUCUCCAAGGAUAAAGGGAAGAUCUACUCUGCUCCACUGCAAAAGCUUGCCCCCGACAACUGGCUUGAAAGAGCCCAGAACCAUUUACUACAAUCGUUACCUGAUAGUUGCCUUCACGCAAGAAAACCAUUAGCAAAAUCUUAAGCUUGGAUUUUGAAGUCAACAUUGCCAAGAUCCUUUCCAAUGUCCCUCUGACUGUCGGGCAACAUGACUGUGACAACACUGCAGGCACUGUUCCCUACACUGCCACUUUCCAGUUUUCAGAGUCCCUUACCUUGGAAAGCUCCUUUUCCCGAGAGCUUGGAUUUACUGUGGCAGAUGGGGCAUCGACAACCUUCAAGGCUGGAAUCCCAGUGAUUGCGGAGAAUGAAACUACAGUCACCCUGGAUGUCAGUACAAGUCACACCUGGAGCUUUACAGAGACGGAAAGGAAACGGGUUGUUGACGGCUCUACCUUGAGCAGCACGGUGCCCCCUGGGAAGGCAGUGAGGUUCAAGGCUGUUGUCCAGAAGGGAACCCUGGAUGUUCCUUAUAAAGCGAAGGUGACCACUGUCUUUGGAUAUGAAACCACUAUUACCGGAAGAUGGAUUGGAGCUUCAGUAUCCAAAGUAGGAAUAAAGGAAGAAAUCCUUGACCUCAAAAAGUAGCCAUAGAUCUGGAAAAGACCUGUAUGAAUAUAUUUUUUUUUAAUAAAUAGGGAAAAUACUAGCAGUUGG